rnacentral:rRNA from 1 species
UACGGAGGGUGCGAGCGUUAAUCGGAAUUACUGGGCGUAAAGCGCGCGUAGGCGGUUUGUUAAGUCAGCUGUGAAAGCCCCGGGCUCAACCUGGGAACUGCAGUUGAUACUGGCCGACUAGAGUACGAGAGAGGGAGGUAGAAUUCCAUGUGUAGCGGUGAAAUGCGUAGAUAUAUGGAGGAAUACCAGUGGCGAAGGCGGCCUCCUGGCUCGAUACUGACGCUGAGGUGCGAAAGCGUGGGGAUCAAACAGGAUUAGAUACCCCGGUA